GGUUAAGCGACUAAGCGUACACGGUGGAUGCCCUGGCAGUCAGAGGCGAUGAAGGACGUGCUAAUCUGCGAUAAGCGUCGGUAAGGUGAUAUGAACCGUUAUAACCGGCGAUUUCCGAAUGGGGAAACCCAGUGUGAUUCGUCACACUAUCAUUAACUGAAUCCAUAGGUUAAUGAGGCGAACCGGGGGAACUGAAACAUCUAAGUACCCCGAGGAAAAGAAAUCAACCGAGAUUCCCCCAGUAGCGGCGAGCGAACGGGGAGCAGCCCAGAGCCUGAAUCAGUGUGUGUGUUAGUGGAAGCGUCUGGAAAGGCGCGCGAUACAGGGUGACAGCCCCGUACACAAAAAUGCACAUAUUGUGAGCUCGAUGAGUAGGGCGGGACACGUGGUAUCCUGUCUGAAUAUGGGGGGACCAUCCUCCAAGGCUAAAUACUCCUGACUGACCGAUAGUGAACCAGUACCGUGAGGGAAAGGCGAAAAGAACCCCGGCGAGGGGAGUGAAAAAGAACCUGAAACCGUGUACGUACAAGCAGUGGGAGCCUCUUUUAUGGGGUGACUGCGUACCUUUUGUAUAAUGGGUCAGCGACUUAUAUUCUGUAGCAAGGUUAACCGAAUAGGGGAGCCGAAGGGAAACCGAGUCUUAACUGGGCGUUAAGUUGCAGGGUAUAGACCCGAAACCCGGUGAUCUAGCCAUGGGCAGGUUGAAGGUUGGGUAACACUAACUGGAGGACCGAACCGACUAAUGUUGAAAAAUUAGCGGAUGACUUGUGGCUGGGGG
rnacentral:rRNA from 1 species